UUAAAACAGAGAGUUCGAUCCUGGCUCAGGAUGAACGCUGGCGGCGUGCUUAACACAUGCAAGUCGAACGAGAGAUCCGGACGGAAGUUUUCGGACGGAAGAGCGGAUUUCGAGUGGCGGACGGGUGAGUAACGCGUGGGG
rnacentral:rRNA from 1 species